rnacentral:rRNA from 1 species
UUCGCAAUGCCCGAAAGGGUGACGAAGCGACGCCGCGUGCGGGAAGAAGGCCUUCGGGUUGUAAACCGCUGUCGGGAGUUAGGAAAUGCAAGGAUGUUAAUAGCGUCUUUGCUUGACUAAGGCUCCGGAGGAAGCCACGGCUAACUCUGUGCCAGCAGCCGCGGUAAUACAGAGGCGGCAAGCGUUGUUCGGAAUUAUUGGGCGUAAAGAGCACGUAGGCGGCCGUGUAAGUCGGUUGUGAAAGCCUUCCGCUCAACGGGAGAACGGCAUCCGAUACUGCAUGGCUCGAGUGCGGGAGGGGAGAGUGGAACUUCUGGUGGAGCGGUGAAAUGCGUAGAUAUCAGAAGGAACACCGGCGGCGGAGGCGACUCUCUGGCCCGUAACUGACGCUGAGUGUGCGAAAGCUAGGGGAGCAAACGGGAUUAGAUACCCCGGUAGUCCUAGCCGUAAACGAUGGGCACUAAGUAGAGGGGUUUU